rnacentral:rRNA from 1 species
AUGUUGGCCGGGCGACGGUUGUCCCGGUUUAAGCGUGUAGGCUGGUUUUCCAGGCAAAUCCGGAAAACUAAGGCUGAGGCGUGAUGACGAGGCACUACGGUGCUGAAGCAACAAAUGCCCUGCUUCCAGGAAAAGCCUCUAAGCAUCAGGUAACAUCAAAUCGUACCCCAAACCGACACAGGUGGUCAGGUAGAGAAUACCAAGGCGCUUGAGAGAACUCGGGUGAAGGAACUAGGCAAAAUGGUGCCGUAACUUCGGGAGAAGGCACGCUGAUAUGUAGGUGAAGUCCCUCGCGGAUGGAGCUGAAAUCAGUCGAAGAUACCAGCUGGCUGCAACUGUUUAUUAAAAACACAGCACUGUGCAAACACGAAAGUGGACGUAUACGGUGUGACGCCUGCCCGGUGCCGGAAGGUUAAUUGAUGGGGUCAGCGCAAGCGAAGCUCUUGAUCGAAGCCCCGGUAAACGGCGGCCGUAACUAUAACGGUCCUAAGGUAGCGAAAUUCCUUGUCGGGUAAGUUCCGACCUGCACGAAUGGCGUAAUGAUGGCCAGGCUGUCUCCACCCGAGACUCAGUGAAAUUGAACUCGCUGUGAAGAUGCAGUGUACCCGCGGCAAGACGGAAAGACCCCGUGAACCUUUACUAUAGCUUGACACUGAACAUUGAGCCUUGAUGUGUAGGAUAGGUGGGAGGCUUUGAAGUGUGGACGCCAGUCUGCAUGGAGCCGACCUUGAAAUACCACCCUUUAAUGUUUGAUGUUCUAACGUUGACCCGUAAUCCGGGUUGCGGACAGUGUCUGGUGGGUAGUUUGACUGGGGCGGUCUCCUCCUAAAGAGUAACGGAGGAGCACGAAGGUUGGCUAAUCCUGGUCGGACAUCAGGAGGUUAGUGCAAUGGCAUAAGCCAGCUUGACUGCGAGCGUGACGGCGCGAGCAGGUGCGAAAGCAGGUCAUAGUGAUCCGGUGGUUCUGAAUGGAAGGGCCAUCGCUCAACGGAUAAAAGGUACUCCGGGGAUAACAGGCUGAUACCGCCCAAGAGUUCAUAUCGACGGCGGUGUUUGGCACCUCGAUGUCGGCUCAUCACAUCCUGGGGCUGAAGUAGGUCCCAAGGGUAUGGCUGUUCGCCAUUUAAAGUGGUACGCGAGCUGGGUUUAGAACGUCGUGAGACAGUUCGGUCCCUAUCUGCCGUGGGCGCUGGAGAACUGAGGGGGGCUGCUCCUAGUACGAGAGGACCGGAGUGGACGCAUCACUGGUGUUCGGGUUGUCAUGCCAAUGGCACUGCCCGGUAGCUAAAUGCGGAAGAGAUAAGUGCUGAAAGCAUCUAAGCACGAAACUUGCCCCGAGAUGAGUUCUCCCUGACUCCUUGAGAGUCCUGAAGGAACGUUGAAGACGACGACGUUGAUAGGCCGGGUGUGUAAGCGCAGCGAUGCGUUGAGCUAACCGGUACUAAUGAACCGUGAGGCUUAACCUUACAACGCCGAAGCUGUU